rnacentral:SRP_RNA from 10 species
GUUUGGCAUGGUAGCACGUUCCUAUAGUCCCAGCUACUCAGUAGGCUGAGGAAGGAAGAUCACUUGAGUCCAGGAGUUCUGGGCUGUAGUGCACUAUGCCAGUUGGGCAUCCACACUAAGUUUGGCAUCAAUAUGGUCACCUCCUGGGAGUGGGGGACCACCAGGUUGCCUAAGGAGGGGUGAACUGACCCAGGUCAGAAACAGAGCAGGUUGAAACUCCCAUGCUGAUUAGUAGUGAGAUCAUGCCUGUGAAUAGCCACUGCACUCCAUCUUGGAAAACAUAGUGAGACCUGGUCUUUCU